rnacentral:rRNA from 1 species
CCUACGGGCGGCAGCAGUGAGGAAUAUUGGUCAAUGGACGGAAGUCUGAACCAGCAAUGCCGCGUGCAGGAAGAAGGCUCUAUGAGUUGUAAACUGCUUUUGUACAAGGGUAAACCUGAAUACGUGUAUUCAGCUGAACGUACUGUUCGAAUAAGGAUAGGCUAACUCCGUGCCAGCAGCCGCGGUAAUACGGAGGAUCCAAGCGUUAUCCGGAUUUAUUGGGUUUAAUGGGUGCGUAGGCGGAUUGAUAAGUUAGAGGUGAAAUGUCCGGGCUUAACUCGGGAACUGGUUCUAAGACUGUUGAUCUAGAGUGUAGGUGGGGUAGGCGGAAUUUAUGGUGUAGCGGUGAAAUGCUUAGAGAUCAUACAGAACACCGAUUGCGAAGGCAGCUUACCAAUCUAUAACUGACGUUGAGGCACGAAAGCGUGGGGAGCAAACAGGAUUAGAUACCCUUGUAGUC